rnacentral:rRNA from 1 species
UACGUAGGGGCAAGCGUUAUCCGGAAUUACUGGGUGUAAAGGGAGCGUAGGCGGCAUGGUAAGUAAGGUGUGAAAGCCUUGGGCUUAACCCGAGGAUUGCACUUUAAACUAUCAAGCUAGAGUACAGGAGAGGUAAGUGGAAUUCCUAGUGUAGCGGUGAAAUGCGUAGAUAUUAGGAAGAACACCAGUGGCGAAGGCGACUUACUGGACUGAAACUGACGCUGAGGCUCGAAAGCGUGGGGAGCAAACAGGAUUAGAUACCCUGGUAGUCCCUGAG